UGACGAAGCGACGCCGCGUGGAUGAAGAAGGCCUUCGGGUUGUAAAAUCCUGUCAGGAGUUAAGAAAUGUAAGUUUGAUAAUACCAAAUUUACUUGACAAAGGCUCCAAAGGAAGCCACGGCUAACUCUGUGCCAGCAGCCGCGGUAAUACAGAGGUGGCGAGCGUUGUUCGGAAUUAUUGGGCGUAAAGAGCACGUAGGUGGAUUUGUAAGUCAGAUGUGAAAGCCUUCUGUUCAACGGAAGAAUUGCAUCUGAAACUACAAACCUUGAGUAUAGGAGGGGAGAGUGGAACUUCUGGUGGAGCGGUGAAAUGCGUAGAUAUCAGAGGGAACGCCGGCGGCGAAAGCGACUCUCUGGCCUAUUACUGACACUGAGUGUGCGAAAGCUAGGGGAGCAAACGGGAUUAGAUACCCCGGUAGUCCUAGCCGUAAACGAUGGGCACUAAGUAGAGG
rnacentral:rRNA from 1 species